UUCUGAUGAACCUUCAGAUGGAAAACAAGGGGGCAACUUUGACAUUUGAAUGACAGGCAUUCCCUAAGGGGCCUGCAGAGGGUGAGAAAUGACCCCAUUGAAGACUGGAGUUCAACAUUCUGACAAGUGGCAGAGCGGAUGCAGAAAAUGCAGGAGAAACAGAAAGCUUUUGUGCUCAAUCCUGCCAUCGGGCCUGAGGGUCUCAGCGGCUCCUCCCGGAUGAAAGGUGGAAGUGCCACCAAGAUCCUGCUGGAAACCCUGUUACUAGCCGCCCAUAAGACUGUGGCCCGGGGCAUUGCAGCAUCUCAAAGGUAGGGAGGACCUGGACAAGAGAGAGCUCAGAGUCAGGUGAGCGUGAGAUGGUGUGGAUGGGGAAUGGCAGGUCUAGACCCAAGGACUGCGCUGGUGGCAGUAAGACUGCAGCCCACCACGCCUCCCCUGGGAAGGGAGCUGGCGGGGACAUGCUGUUGCUCCCACCACGUAGUCGCAGACUCCAGAUUGUCUCCAGUGGAUCCUGGAUUCCUUAGGCCCAGACCUAAUCUCUGAGCCUGCCUGGAACCUCCAAAGCUAGCCUGGCUCCCGAGGGUCCUUUG